AUGGGAAAUCUCCCAAUAUUUCUUGUAUCUUUUACCGGUUUUAUUGAAAUGAAAUAUUCAUAUCCAGUAUUUCUUAACACUGCAUCCUAUUUGACCCACAGGUACCUGAUUCAGGACCUACUAUCAGGAAAGCCUGCAAAGUCUUGGCUUAGGCACUCUGAGAUUGCUAUUUGGAAUUCUGCAGGGAUAUUAAACCAUCUGCCAGAGGAUUGCAGGUACAGAAAAAAAAAUAAGCAAAUAAAACAAGAACCAAACACACCUCCAGGGGAACAGAGGAUAAUGACCAGGCAUGGAGUGUGGCUGGGCGUGGAACAACAGAGUACAGAGAAGAAUCUAGAAGCUGAUUUCUGCUUCCCAGGGCGUCAGAAAUUGGCACUUCUGGGGCUAACUGUGGGACCCUGCAUCUGUCCUAAGGAGGAAGAUUGGAGGAAGUAUGUGAGGAAGGCCCUAGUGGAGGGCCAUCCCUGAGAAUGUUAAAAUGUGGAGGGAAGAUAACAGUGAUGGUAGUAAAGACCGGUGUACAGAAAGGUGUACAGGUUUCCCUUGCUAUCUGAAAGUUCACUGAGGGCGUGGCCCCACAAGGGGCUUGAUUCCACAAUUCCAAGAUCAUGACCUGAGCUGAUAUCAAGAGUUGGGUGCUCCACAGACUGAGCCAUCCAAGUGCCCCCCUCCACUGUUUUUUAAAUACCACUUUGCUUUUACUGAAGACCUGUGUUAGUACCUGAUCUCACUAACUCAAAGAAAUCCGAAGAGGAUUUUCGCCUUUAUGAAAUGGUAAUUUCUUUCUUGCUCUACUUCAUUUGGCUUAUGAAAGGUUUCACAGGAAUGUCCUACUUUUUAUAACUGGGGAAACCUGCAUAUAUAUGUGUAUAUACAGUAUAUAUUUAUAUAUAUAAAUCUGUGUGUAUAUUCUGUAUAUAUACAUAGCUAUGUGAGAUUAUGGCUAUGUGACAUACAUAACUGAACGAGAUAUAUAUAUAUAUAUAUAUAUAGGGGCUGGGGACACCUGCUGGUUUUCCUUCAAAGAGACAAACUGGCAUGUAAAUAAAAGCCUGUAUACACAUUUAGGAGACACAAAUUCAUUCUCUCUUCUUGUGUAGUAUUAAUCAGACGCUCACUGAGUUCUGUGAAUAUGUCUUCCCUGAGAAUGAUGGAUCACACAUUAGUUGUGUGCCCUUGAACAUGCCCUCUGAGCCUCAACCAUC
rnacentral:lncRNA from 1 species